rnacentral:lncRNA from 1 species
AUCCAGCAAUUAUGAAAAUAUGUUUGGUGGAAUGUUAAUUUGGAAUAUGAAAAAAAAGUUGUAAUUUGAUAAUCAAUGUCAUCACCUCCCCCAUUCUUUCCAGAUUUGAAUUUGAAGGUUGGACUUGUUUACAUAGUUCAUCAUAGUUUUUUUUCUCUAAUUUUGCAGUGCAGCAACUUGGCUUUAAUUUAAACGAGCC